rnacentral:misc_RNA from 1 species
GUUUUUUUCUUACCACCGAAGCCCUAAAUCCAAAUAAAGUGUCAUGUCAUUUCGCUUGUAAGAUAUAUUUUCUUUCUAUACUCAGAAAUAUGCAUAUUUGCAUAUGGGUAAUUUUCCCCGAUUAAUUAUUGCUGUUUAGGUUUCAGUAUUUGAAGUAGAUUGAUAAAAAGAUGAUAAAGAGUCGUUUAUAUAGGGACGAACACGGAGAG